CUCAGGGCAAAUCGUCCUCAAAAAAAAUUAGCAAAAUAUUUUUAUAUUAUAAUAUUAAGUGCUGGUGAGGAUUCAAUGAAAGUGACACUCCCGAUCAGUGAAAGAAAACAUAUUAACAUGUUGCUAAUGUUUACUUCUGGGCGAUUUUGUGCCCAUCUUUAUACUUUUUUGAAUUUUCAAGUUUUCUAUCAUUUAAUUGUACUUUAAAAAUCAGAAGGAGACUUCUACUUCCUGCCAAGAUGGAGUAAAGCAACUAGGUUUAUCCUUCUGUCUAAACACCCAAAAACUGAACGAAUUAUGUAAAAAUAAUCAUUUUACCAAUUACACUGGCUAUCAGGUGACAAAGGAUACCGGUGAUCUCUGGGAGACAGGAAACAAACAAGGUAAACCUCCUGAUUUCCAAAGUUAUGGCUUUGGGAGAGUUUCCAGGUCAAGGCACAGGGAGAGGGGAUACAAGGGAGGCCCAGCAUGCUGCAUAAAUUGAGAAGAAUAAGUUGGGAGUCAAAGCAGACCAAGCAGCUAGAAUUUGCAGAACAGAAUAGCAGAGAGGAGAGAUUGCACAGAGAGAGAACCCUGGAGAUCUAAAGAGGGUCCAGAAUGCAUUCAGCAGAACACUUAUCAGCACAUACAUGUGAAGAUACCACCCAAGGCUGAGGGAAGACUCACCCUAAAGGAUUAGAGGAAACAAGUACCCAACACUCACAUAGGGCUCGCAAAAAUGUGUAUCAUCAGCCAGAUUAGAAAACCUCACAGGCAUUGGAAAGGGUAUUCAGAAGGGUCUUUUCUCAGUGGUGGGGCAAAGUUAACCCUACAACAGUGGUUCUAAACCGUGAAUAAUUUCCCCCCGGAGACAUUUUGCAAUCUCUGUAGAUAUUUGUUUUUUAUUGUCGUGAUUUAAUGGGGGUUCUAGUGGCAUCGAGUGGGUAGAGGGCAAGGAUGCUGCUAAAUAUCCUACAAAAAAGGAUUAUCCAGUCCAGAAUGGCAAUAGUGCUGAGAUCAGAAACGCCCUAGUCUAUAUGCCAUUUAGGUCCUGCCUGAAAGCAAAACCUGAAAGUUUCAAACUAUUUCCAAGCAACUUAACUAUGUCCCAGAUUAAAGCUCAAGAAUAUUUAUGGGAAGUAAAAAAGGUAAAAUUCACAAUGUCUGGCAUCCAGUAAAAAAUUACCAAGUGUGAAAAGUAGAAAAAUAUAAUCCAUAAUGAGGAGAAAAUCAAUCUAUCACAAUUGAGUUAGAACUGGCAUAGGUUAUAUUUAGCAGACAAAGACGUUAAACAGUUAUUAUAACUGUAUUCCAUGUGUUCAGAAGUUAAAUAGAGACCUGGAAGGUAUAAAAAAAUGACUCAAAUUGAACUUCUAGAGACAAAAAAUACAACGUCUGAGAUAAAAAAAUACACUGGAUGAGAUUAACAGCAAAUGAGACGAUAGAACAAAAGAGUAAUAAACUUGAAUGUGUAGCAAUAGAAACUACCCAAAAUGAAACAUAGAAAUAAAAACAAACUUUAAAAAAUGAGCACAGUAUCAGUGGGCUGUGGAACAAUUUCAAGUAGCCUAGUAUAUGUUUAAUUGAAGUCUCCAAAGUGGGGAAAGGGAAAAAAAUAUUAGAAGAAACAAUGGCCAAAAUUUUUCCAAAUCUGAUAAACACUAUAAACCCACAAAUUCAAGAAAUUUAAUGAAUCUCAAGCUAAGUAAAUGUGGAAAAAACUACACCAAGUCUCAUCAUAAUCAAAUUGCUUACAAGUGAUAAGUAGAAAAGCUUAAAAGCAACUAGAGAAAAAAGACAUGAGAAGUACAGAUGAACAAAGGUACUGAUGACAGACGAUCUUUCAUUUUUUAAUUACAAUGCAAGCAAAAGACCAUAAACCACAUUCUUAAUGCACCCCAUCCACCCUAAAAUCCUGUAAACCCAGAUUUCUAUACCCAGUGAAAAUAUCUGUCAAACAUUAAGGUUAAACACAGACUCUUUCAAACAAACAAAGUCUAAAUAAAUUUCUCACCAGCAGACCCACACAAUGAGAAGUGUUAAGGGGAGUCCUUCAGGCAGAAGGAAGAUGAUCUCAGAUGAAAAUAUGGAUCUACACAAGGUAAUGAAGAGCACUGAAAAUAGUAACUACAUAGUGCUCCAUAACUUAUCUCUAAUGUCUAAAGAUACCAGUCUGAAAGAGGUUCUCUAUGAACUUCAAAAUCUGUGUUAGGACCAUUGGCUGGAGCUCCUGGAGAAGCACAUGUGCCAGCAUUGUUUAAAAUCAAGUCAAUUCCUGACAGUUCCAAUGCAUUAGAGAAAAAGAAAAUGUAAGUGCUGCAGGGUGAUGUGGUGGCAGCAACUUUUGAAGAGUAUAUUUUUUCCACAGCAGGUGAGUACUAAUACGUUUUAUGCAAUUUAUCAUCCUUGUCUUUGUUCAAGGGAUUUUUUUGUAAAAAUAAGAAUAAAGAUUUUUUUUAAUCUUAAGACUAUAACAAGUCAAAUAUUUCAUGAUUCCUCCAUGGCCAGCCAAUCAAAAUACUCACGUAGGCUGGAUAAACUUAAGAGCCACACUGUAAUUUGAUUCAUUGUGCAUUGAUUCAUUCAGCAACAGUUCAUUCACUUGACCAAUAUUUAUGGAGCACCUGCUAUGUCCUAGGCAUCAUGCCAGUCCUGCAGAUACAAGCAUCAACAAGAAAGACAGAGUCCCUGACCUUUCGGUGCUUAUUUACUUAAAAUCCUAUUGAUUUCUGAUCUUCACAGAUUUACCACAUCUUUAGAAAGCAGAUCAGAUAGGCAAAGUGUAUAACAUCUUUUAAAUGGCUCCGAUAAAUCCCCCCUUUCCUCAAAAUUUGUUACUAUCUCAAAUUGUUCAUGCCUGGAGAUCCACCGCCCCUUCGUCUCCAGGCUUUGUUCCCCGUACAAGCAUCCAGACACUGGAGCUGAGAAUAGGGCAGAGAGGAGCAUGUAUAACCCAGUCAUUUUCACCUUCAUCUGUAAGAAUGUAACAAAGCCUUCUUUGUUGUGAUCAGAUUCUGGUGAGAAGACAUCUGAGUUGAGAGAUCCCAAGGACCCUGGAUACGUGGAUGCUGGAGACAGAAAACGGGAAUUACCGUGUGCUUAUCUGCACCUGAAGAGAGUAACCGGAUGCAAACCAGCCUCUGCGGAUCUCAGACCUGCCCCUCUCACGCUGCCUUCUCCAUGGCUGGUUGUUCGCCACAGGAUCUGAGCGCGAAGGAAUCAGGCAUGGUAGCCACUGGACUAGAGAGGAUGAGAGACACGUGGAGCAGACACGAAUCAGAACUGCAACUUUGAGCCUGAAGCCUGGAACCUGGAGGCUAGAGUCCAGCCUAGCUUAGUGGAGUUGCAGCCAACCUGUAGAUCCACAAGCAAGAAAUAAAUGUUUGUUGUUCUAUGUCAUUGAGAUUUGGAGUGGUUUGUUACAUAGCAACAAACCACAGGAAAAACUGGAAGAAACCACAAAUACGUAAAAAUUUUUUUAAAUAAUAAGAAAGAAAUAUCUAUAACUAUAGAAAAUUACAAUAAUUGUAUAGACUUCUUUGUUCAACUCUGUGCAAAUAAAUUUGAAAAGCUGGAUAAAAUGUGUAAUUUUCUUGAAAAGUACAAUUUACCCAAACCAGCUCCAGACAAGAUAGUCAAUCUUAACAGACCAGUUUCUAUAGAAGAAAUAGAAAAAAUUUUCAAAGAGCUCUCUCACUAACUUCCUAUUUUAAAAGUAAUGGGCUCAGAUCGUUUCACAGGGAAAUUCUAAGAAAUCUUUAAAUAACACAUACUUCCAAUAUUAUUUGAGCUCUUCUAGACCACAGGGGAAAAAAGGACAACUUCCAAGUACUUUUUAAUGAAAUGAUAUUUAUAUCAACACCCAGCAAAGAGUUAACAGGAAAAGUAAAGUACAGAUCAUACUUAUGUGUAAAUAUUAAUAAGAAAAGUAUUUCAUAAAAUAUUAUCAAAUAAUAUCUAGCUAUAGUAGGGUAACACAUGUGACCUAAUGGAGCUUAUUCUGGAAGUGGAAAAUGUAUACUGCUGAAAGAAACUUAUUAAUAUGUUUCACUAUAUCAUAUCCUAAGAAUAAAAAUUAUAUUAUUAUUUCUGUGAGUGAUGCUGAUAAUGUGUUUGAUAAAUUGAACAUACAUUCUUACUCAAGAUUUUUAAUCAAAUAGAAAUAGAUAUUCUCUUAACGUGAUCAAAUAAUUUUGUCUCAAUCCAGAGCAAACUAGCCUUAUGCUAAUGAAGAAGCAUUCUUAAAGUCAGGAAUAAGGAAUAAUACGAGGACGUCCAUUAUCAUUGCCUUUUUUCUUUUUUGGUUGUUACAAAUAGGACAUCUACGAACGUCGUUAUACAUAUCCCUCAGUGGGCGUGAACAUGAGUUAGUUGCAUUUGGAUACACACAUAGGGUUAGAAUUUCUGGAUCAGAGUAUGUGAAGUUUCAAUUUUAUUAGACAGUGAAAAAUAGUUGUCCACAAGGAUUACACCAAAUACUCGCCCACCUGCUGUGUAUGGGAAACCACAUUCUCACAUACAUUUAGUAUUGUCAAACUUCUUAAUUUUUGCUGUAAGCUGCAGUUAUUUUAGUCUAAAAGAAAAUAACAUUAAUUAGACACUGUGUGCCAGACAGUUUCACAUGUACUGUCUUAUUUUAACCCUAUAUUUUAUCAUUCUCAUUUUAUAGAUAAAUUGUGUCCAAAGCCACAAAGCUCCCCCAGCAGGCAGCUCUUCUUCCCAAUCUAGUAGAUAAGUUGAAAGUCUCGACUGGUAUGGAACAGCCCACCAAGGAGCACAGAGGGCAGUAGACAGAUCUUCCCAGGACACGCACAAAAGGUAUUCUUAGCACCCUCCAGAAUACCUCGCACCAAGACAGCUUUUAGGUGCCAAGGAAAGAAUGCAGACUUAGGAGGCAAAUGGCCUGGGAUGGAAUCUCUGCCCCACUGACAAUAUCAUUCCCGAGUUAUCUGGGCUCCCUCUCCUCGGUUAACGUUGGCUCUAUCCCGUUUACUCUUUCCAGUUCCCAUCAGCUAACCUAUCCCGUAGGUUGUUCCUUAGAUAACAGCUGCCUCAUCCAUUUCUCCCUCUGCUCCUCCAACUAUUUCAGACACGCUCUUGGGUUUUUUUGAAAUUUUCUUCUGCCUCAUGCAUUAAUCCACUCAUUACACACCAACAAGAUUCUAAAAUAUUGCUUUGUUCAUACCAUUUUCCCUGUUUAAACCCUUUAAAUAGAACCCCAUUGCCUAUAAUAAAACCCAAAUUAUUUAGUGAGGCAUUUUCAACAAUCUGACUCUAAUUCCUAGUGUUAUGUGCAAUCCUUCCUUCCUCCCUCCCUUCUUCUUUACUUCUUUCCUUCAACAAAUAUUCAUGAAGCAUCUAGUAUGCACCAGGCACUGUACUGGUCAGUGGAGACUCAUUAAUAAAGAAAGAAGUGUAGAUCCUACCCUCAAGAAGCAUAUCGUCUAUGGGGGAAAGAGAUUUUAAUCAAAUAUUGACACAACUACACAAAUACAAAUGGAAAUAAACACUAGGUAGGAAAAGUUGUGUGUGUCAUGCAAGUGUAUAACAAGGUUUUUGAGCUAGUUAAGUGGAACUUUGCACUCCAGGGGAACCAUCCACACAGAAUGGAGUUGUGCAACAUGGCAGCCUUGGUCUGAACAGUCAGACAAGGCUUAAGUAACAGACGCUAGUGUUGUGAACCAAAGUAUAUGUUAGGGUUGGCCAGGCUCAGCAAGGGGCAGAUCAUCCCAAGCCUAGAGAAUAGUAUGUGCAGAAGGAGCUUCACAUGUUCACAGAACUGAGAGGAAGUCAUGGGACUGCAGUGCAGAGAGCACAUAGUGUCUGAGUUCCAUCCAAGCCAGUCACCUCACUAUCCCCAGAUCACGCUUUGGAACCACCAGCCUCUAGCCCUUUGCUCUUAUAUAUUUUAUUACCCUCCUCCUUCUUCAUUACAAUUUAGUUCAUAGCUCAAGACAGGUCAUAGCCCUUGAUGCAAAACCUAAAACUGCAAAACUUCUAAAGGGAGACAGGAGAAAGACUGUGACCUUGGGGUAGCCAAAGGUUUUUUUUUAAGAUUGACCCUGAGCUAACAUCUGUUGCCAAUCUUUUUUUUCCUUC